GAUGAACGCUAGCUACAGGCUUAACACAUGCAAGUCGAGGGGCAGCACAGUGUAGCAAUACACGGGUGACCGACCGGCGCACGGGUGAGUAACGCGUAUCCGACCUACCCAUUACUCGGGCACAGCCGCUCGAAAGAGUGAUUGAUUCCCGAUAUGUCCUUGGAGUAGAUUCAAUGAUGAAAGAUUUAUCGGUAAUGGAUGGGGAUGCGUAAGAUUAGGUAGUAGGCGGGGUAACGGCCCACCUAGCCGACGAUCUUUAGGGGUUCUGAGAGGAAGGUCCCCCACACUGGAACUGAGACACGGUCCAGACUCCUACGGGAGGCAGCAGUGAGGAAUAUUGGUCAAUGGUCGGAAGACUGAACCAGCCAAGUAGCGUGAAGGAUGAAGGUUCUAUGGAUUGUAAACUUCUUUUAUACGGGAAUAAAACCACCUACGUGUAGGUGCUUGUAUGUACCGUAUGAAUAAGCAUCGGCUAACUCCGUG
rnacentral:rRNA from 1 species